CUCUCAUAUUUGAUCACAUUCUAGUUUAUCUUCUAUUUGUAUUUUUAUUAUUUGGAUAGAUCUUAUAAAUACUCUUAAUUUGCUGCACUAUGUAAUUAAUUUGUUUAUUUCUUAUUUCUCAGUAUUAUUUUUAUCUAAUUUGUUUACAGAAGUGUAUUAUACAUAAAUGGUAAUUGAUUAUUGGGUUGUUAAUUUCUAUUGACAAAGUUUUAAGCAUAUUAUAUUUAUAAAUAUGUAUAUAAUAUUUUACGUGUGUGCGUGUGUGUCCCCGCACACGUGUGUGCAUGCAUGAAUUCUUGCCACAAGACCAAAUGGUCAAUAGGGAGUUCUACCUGCAAGUUCAAUGCCAUUUGUGUGAAGCAAUCCAAAAAACACUCAGAUUUGUGACAAAACAAUUCAUAUCUUUUGCACCAUGACAAUGUACCUGCUCACACUCCAUUGCUUGUUCAUGAAUUUUUGGCCAAUAGCAGUACUGUAACGAUGCCCCAGCCUCCACAUUCACCAGACAUAGCUCUGUAUGACUAUAUUUUAUUUAAAAAAAACAAAGAGAACCCUAAAGGGCCACAUUUACAAGCAUACAUUACAUUAAAAGUGCAUCGCUGAACGAGCUAUCCCAAAGAUCGAGUUUGAGAAGUGUUUUGAGGAUUUGAAGAAGCACUGGAAAAAGUGCAUAUUAUGCACUAUACAUCUAAUGGGGAUUAUUUUGAAGGUAAAAACAUUAAUGUAGACAGACAGAUAAAUAUUUUUUCACAAAAUGAAAAUUCCCAUCACAUUUUGAACAUACCUAUCAAGUCAUUAUAAAAGGAUUCUGUUUACAAUUGAGUUUUACCAAUAAAGAGGCAGAUUCCUACUUUCUGUUGAGUGUUAGAUUAGUUAAUUGGUUAAAUUAAAACAAAACCGGUUUUGAUCAUAUUCUGUUGGACAUUUUAUAGUUUGUUUUGAAGUAGAACAUUUUUUCUCCUUUUCAUAUAAAAGAACUCUUAAAAGACAAUUCAAAAUUUGAGAGAGCUGGUGACCACAUGGGUAUAAGACAUAGGUCUGUGGGUUGAGUUAAAGAUAGCACAGUUUCAAAGCCUGACUUUGACCUGAGCACUUUUUAAUAGUAUUCUCGACCUCGUACUGUACUAACUCUCUAUUCUAUUUGAUUACAUCGCACAAGCCAGAAUGAUCAAAAUAAGGCUGAGAAGAAGACCAACCACUUCAUUAAAAAAUGAAUGUUAUAUCUUGCCCUGAAAAACUUUGUGUGAUUAAACAUACUAAAUAAUUUAUUUUAGAUUUAUAAAACAAGCAGCACCCAUUAUGGAAAGGAGGAAUUAUAAUAAUAGAUUUAAUAGCAAAGUGAUAAAGUAGAAAGCCUUUUUAUAAGUCAUCAUUUCAACAUUUUAUGGUAUUUGUAUUUUUCUUUACCAAAAUACCAAAUUACGUUAUUUUUAAACAACCAGUAUAUUUAAACACAAAUAAAAUCUUAUUGUAAACAAUACUGGAAUUGUUUUGUUUCUUCUACAGGUCACAAGAGGGGAGCCAUCAUUUGAAAAUGUAGUUGUGUUGCACCACUCUCCAUUUCA
rnacentral:lncRNA from 1 species